UUCGUUGAAAACUACAAUUCCCAGAAUGCCAAGGUAAAAUGGCCGCCAAAUUACUGAUUGAUGGCACCUGAAAAGGAAGGGGGUUCAGUCAGAGUCGUUCACUAAACCGCAUGCAAGGAAGAACAACAAGCAGCCGCAACCGCAAGAUCUACUCAACAAGUUUCUCCAAACACACCAAUGAAUGGUGACCCGGCAGUGCGGCUGGAUCAAAAGAGACGCCGGAGGCGCUUUACUGAACCAAAAGUUGCUUUAUUACAAGCAAGCGUCAUUAUGCAGGACUGCAGAACCUGGAGGAGGUCAAAUCAAAAAAUGAGGCAGGAGUCUGACCACAGUCUUAUAUUUCUUCUUACUCGGUCUGGGUGUGUUUUAAUUCAGGAGAGUACAACCUGACCAUGUAAGGAUAUGUUGGUGUGUAAGUGACUGGGAAGACAACAGAUGUAUACCAUAACUUGUAGGUUGACUCUAAGAUAACAUGGACUCUCUGCUCUAGGAUAGAGCUAUCACUUUUGCGUUCUGAAAUCUGAAUGUAUUGCCUUUUCUCGUGAGGGAGUUAACCCGGUCCAUGUGCGAAUGUCCGAUUAAGGCUCCUUAAUUUAUUAUGGACUCAACCAUUAUUUAGUUAAACCUGGUGGUUUGCUUUCUCCAUGUUGAAUAUCAACAUUCACCAUAUGUAGAACAUAAUAUGAGUUAAUUAUUACACUUCAGAAACUAGAGAAGAGUUGAUUGUUAUUGGAACUGGUGCUGUGUUACAAUACUUUCAUCGUAAACAAAGAAGGAAUUUUUGCAAAGGUAGGCAGUAUGCCUCAUGAUUGUACCGCAUCAACACCAUGUCCCACUCUCCCUUGUGGAGGGAGUCCGGUCCAAUCCGGUGGCCAUGUACUGCUUGCCUGUGUAUCGGCUGGGGACAUCUCUGCGCUGCUGAUCCGCCUCCGCUUGGGAUGUUUUCCUGCUGGCUCCGCUGUGAACGGGACUCUCGCGGCUGUGUUGGAUCCGCUUUGGACUGGACUCUCGCGACUGUGUUGGAUCCAUCAUGGAUUGAACUUUCACAGUAUCAUGUUCGGCCCGCUCGACAUCCAUUGCUUUCCUCCUCUCCAAGGUUCUCAUAGUCAUUGUCACCGAUGUCCCACUGGGUGUGAGUUUUCCUUGCCCUUAUGUGGGCCUAUCGAGGAUGUCGUAGUGGUUUGUGUUGUGGUUUGUGCAGCCCUUUGAGACACUAGUGAUUUAGGGCUAUAUAAGUAAACAUUGAUUGAUUGAUCAACACGGGACAAGUACUAAAAACCAACCAAAUACAACCAUUGCCAUGUCACUGCUAUGAAGGUUAGACAUUUUUGGGGCAUAUGUCAAACUACAGAGUUUUUUUUAAGGGGGAAGGCAGAGCUCGUCUUAAAGGGGAACUGCACCUUUUUUUUUUUUAAUUGUGUCUAUUGUUAACAAUUAUUAUGAAAGACAUGCUGGAUGUUUGAAGAAAAAAAUAAGUGUCGCUUUUUUUCCACACACACACAGUCAUGCACACACAAGCAAACAAGCAGCAUGCUCUUUAAUAUUCAAAUAUGAUUUGUUUUUUGUUUUGGACAUUACUUUGUAGUAAAUAUUGAGAAGAAACCCCAACUUGCCGGUUUAGAGCUGUGUUUUGAAUGGAAUGUAGACGUGAUUCAUUUUCUUCUUAUAGUCCUCAUCAAACUCUGCUGACUGCUCUGAAGUAAAAUGGUUCUGCCAAUCACUGACUUGUCCUGUUUGCACAAAAAGAAAACGCAGAAACAGUAAUUCAUCAUAAAUUUAACAGAAAGUACGAGAGGGACAAGCGGUAGAAAAAUGGAUGUAUGGGUAGAUAAAAAUCGGGGCAUUUCGUGAUUUCAUGGUUUAACGCUGCAUCUUGCUGUAUUGCACUGUUGUGCAGCAAAAAUGUGUUUUAAGGACUCCAAAAUAAAAUACAACUAUCAAGAAAUUACAUCAAUGGUGCAAACCAGAUAAUUUCUAUGUAACUUUGUAUCACUGUCAAUAUUAAUUACAAAUGAUUGUGAGACUUUGUACUGGUCUAUUUUGGACAGCCAGCUGUCGCGAGACUUCAAGCUGGCGUCUCAACCGUUACUUUCGGGUUGGGUGUUACACAUCGCCAGCUGUCAUGCCCGACAAUUAAAGCUUAUUCAUGCACCUUUGUGAACAAGAGGUGCACAUAUGUCGGAUUUAUGGAACAGGCGAACUGCCUGCUCAGUGGCCUUGUGGUUCGAGUGUCCGACCUGAGAUUGGUAGGUUGUGAGUUGCCAAAGACUAUACAAAUGGGAGCCAUUACUACCCUGCUUGGCACUCACUCAGCAUCAAGAUUUGGAAUUGGAGGUUAAAUCACCAAAAUGACUCCCGAGCCACUGCUGCUGCUCACUGCUCUCCUCAACUCCCAGGGGGUGGAACAAGGGGAUGGGUCAAAUGCAGAAGGUAAUUUCUCCAUGUGUGUGUGUGUGUGUGUGUGUGUGUGUGUGUGUGUGUGUGUG